UUCAGCUGCAGUCUGGAUGAAGAGAUUAAGAAACAAUAAUCCUUUGUCAGCUCAGAGAGAUCUUGAGGGUAACUUAGGCCUCAUACGUAGCAGGUAGGUCUCUGAACAGACAACUCUCCUUUCUGGCUCGACUAAGUCUCCUGGCCAACCAGACGACUCACUCACUCAUCCAUCCAUCCAUCCAGUCAUUCAUUGUAAGUUAUCCACUGAACAAUUCUUUAUGAUGGGUCUUCUGGAUGUAGAAAUGAACAUGACACAUCCCUGUUUUUAAGAAGCAGGGAGGAGGUAAGCAACUGUGUGGUGCAUUAUGAAAAAUCAGGCUGGUCAGGGCACCAGUUCCUUGUGCAGAUGCAGUUUUGUGGUAAGUGCGGUGGUGAGAUGACCUGUUUCCUGCUACCUCUAGUGAAGGCUCCAGGGCUGACCCUUAGGUCACAGCCCUGAACACUGGGCUCCAGGAGAAUGGACAGGCUGAGUGCUGACCCUGGGAGCCUGGAGAGGAAUCAGCCUCAUCCAACACACGCAGAUUCAGACGGGGAAUCCCUCCCUCCGUCCCUGCUCCUUAGCUGGAGCUGGGGAGCUUGGGGAGGGCUCGGCGCGGCCCAAACAUGAGUGUGUGUCGUGGUGCGUGGGUGUCACCGUGUGUCGGCAGCACAGGUGCCCAGGGGCAGGUGGGUCUGUUCUCUGGUGACUGGGCUGUGCUUCUCUAGGGUGGGCUCUGAUGGUCUGGGUGUCCAGCCAACCGUGACUCUGAGGAGGAAACAGAGAAGGGAGACCUGGGCGGCUCUGGGCGCGAUUCCCGCGUAACUGAAGUAAGUCCUUUCAGCUCCCUGCAUCUCAACCUCUUCAUCUGUAUAUUGGGGAUCUCCAGGCUUCGAGGUCAUUCAGUCAUUCAUUCGCAAGCUGAUGGUACACCGGCACCCAGGACAGAAACUCCCUUCACAUGUAAGUGUUUAGCACCUCAUAAAUAGUAAUAAAUCUAGAUAAGUGCAAUAAUUAUAUGUUCCAGGUGUCUGUGGCCAGAUUCGUAUAUUCUGAGUGGAGCAAGGCCAGAUGAAAACCUGGCUCCCUGCAACCCCAAGAGCUGUGUGAUGAGAGGUGAGGUCAAAGGUAGAAGAGAAAUCCCUGGGGUCAGAGGUCAGGAUCCUACGCCUAGUUCAGUUGAUUCCUGUCUGGGUCACCUUGGGGGUGUCUCCUCCCCCACAAAAUGGAGACAGUGCCCACUUCACGGGGAAGCUGGGAGGGUGAAGUGUUUAUCCUGUGGUCCUAUGGGAGCCCCCGCCCACUUUGGAUCUGGUUCUAGCUGGAUCUCAAGUCCCAUCCCCUCUCUGGCCUCAUGGCCAUAUUCAUGAAAUGAGGGGAAAUGUUGGAACACCCAAGCCCUCUCCUCACUCUGUGAAUUCAUACCAUCCUCUUUUUCAUUUUCCCCUUCUUUCCAGAACAAGUGCCUUUUUAGUAGACCUGAGACGUGGCUUCCUGCUUGAGCUAAAUUCAAGAAAUUCUCACCAAGCCCCAGUUAGUGUUCAGGGAUUUGGGGUAGAGGAGACAUCAGGGGCACCCUCUUCUCUGGAAGAGCCACCAUCAUUCCUGCUUAGAGUCAUCAAAAGACCUUUGUUCUUUCUGCCCUGCUCCCCUCCUCAAGAAAUAUAGUCAUCAAAAACCCUAGCCUGGCCUAAAUCAGAGCUAUUAAAGUGGGAUUAGCUUUUGUGAAUUUUUGUUUGUUUGUUUUCAUGAACUAAUUAUUUAAAAGAAUAGUAAUUAUUUAAUUUAAGAGGCAACCUAUUAAAAAAGAUACUCAAACAGGACAAAGGGUCUACAGCAGAGAAUGAAGUCUCUUGUGCCCCCCAGCCCCCAGCAAAGCUGACCACCACUGAGAGUUUUCUUCACUGGACUGGGCCUUUUGGUGGCCUGGGUGACCCCAGCCCUUCUCUGGGAAGGCCAUGCAGGCAGGCAUCUCUCUGCUUUACCAGUGAGGAGCUCCGGGGCCAGGAGGGAGAGGGGCGAGUGGAGCGUCCCAAGGAGUUGAGGGUCUACCAGAAGGCCAGAGGGAGGGCAGUGUCCUCGUACCCUGCUGAGGACUGAGUCCAGUCCCUCCGGUGGACCCCAGGGGAGACUGUGAGGUCACAGAGCCACCAAGGGAGACCUUUAACCCACUUGCAAGAGACCCACUAACCUUGUCAGAGAAGAUCUGCAAAUAUUUGUUGAGCGACUAUGACAGGCCUCCUGCCCUCCAACUGGGGUUGGCAUUAGGGCGAAUUAGGAAACAGAACUGGAAAGACCCCAGAUCUCACUGUGUGAGCAAGCAGAAGGGAGAGAACACUGACUCAACAUCGACUCUCCAUCAAGGGCUUUUGUUAGGUUAUUUUAAAAUUAAUUUUUAAAUAUAAAAGUUGUGCAGGAACACAUUUUCUGUGUAAAAAAAAUGAAAGCUUUACAGAUAAGGCUAAACCCCCUUUUGGUCUCUAGCUCCAGUCUUGGGUUCCUCCCACUUCUCCAGAAGGAACUUUUUCUAUUUUCAAUUUGCUGUGAAUCUUUCCAACUUUUUUCUCUGCCUUUUUCAAACAUCCGUGUUUUGUUUUUGUUUGUCUUUUAAGAUUAAUAGUAUCAUACAUAUUACUCUGCCACUUAAUUUGGGGAUUAACACUCUAUCCGGGAGAUUUAUUUUCAGGCGGAUACACAGCUACGCCCAGGGCUGGCACAGGCGGUGUUUCAUUGGAUGCUCACAUGAGAUGAGCCACUGCAGAUGAGCAGACAGUGCCUCAGAGAACUACGUGACUCACCACCCUGGUAUUGCCUGUUCCAGUGGAAACCAGUGUUUGAAAAAUUGGGAAAGAAAAAUCAGGUGUUUUCUGUUUCACCUCAUCUCCUCCUCACACUCUUCCUCCUCCUGCCUCCCUGCUCUCCUGUCCAAGGUUACAUCCCCAUGGUCAGUGCUGGACAGAGAGCUCUCAGACCCUCUCAUUGACAACAAAGUGGAGGAUGAGGACAUCUCCACCCGGGAGGAUGCCAGCUCCAGGCUAGGUCUUGAAUCUGUUCCUCCUCCCUGUUCUCCAGCCACUGCCUGAGUUCAGGUCUCAUGGCUGCUCCCCAGUCUCCCUGCCUCUCCCCGUAGUGUCACCUGAGUAAGACUUCUCCCAUCUCAUCUCCACCACCUGGUAGUGCCACCCUCUGCUUGGAGUCUUCCAUGGCUCCCCACUGCCCUCAGGACGAAGCCCAAGCUCAUUAGUCUACUUGUCAAGGCCCCGCAUGAUCUGGCCUCUACCUACUCCUUAUCACUGACCAAACGCCUCUUACAGACGUCAGUGAUCUGUGCUACCAAAGUGCAGGGUAGGACUCAUUCUUUCAUUUUACACGUGAGAACACUGAGGCUCAGAGAGGGGAAAUGACUCAUCAGAGACCCCACAAUUAGGAAGAACAGAUGCAGAAUUUGAAUCCAAGUCUCUGGCUCCCGAGCCGGCUUUCUUCUCCCACCCUGCACCCCGCUGCCUGCCCCCCAACUUACUUUGGCUCUCUGGCUGAGCAUCAAGCCUCAGCUUAAUCCAGUGCAUGCACGUGACCCUAGGAAGGGUAAAAAUGCUGAUCUGAGUCUCUUUCACAUUGUUUCUGUGGAGGUGAGUAAGAGGGUCUGAAAUGGGUCUGGGAGAGGGAAAAGUCAAAAGGACAGCCUGAGGUGAAAGAGAAAGUGUGCUUUUUCUCCCCAGGCUGAGCCCUGGGCUGGGGGCGGGCUGAGUGUGGGGGCUGGGAGCGGUGAUGCGUUCAGGGAGGGGCAGGGCGGGGAGGGCGAGUGAGGUAGGACUGAGGAUGACGUAAGGGGUGAUGGAGGAAGUGAUUAGAACCAGGAAAUAAGCUUACUGAAACCACCCUAGGAGAAUCAUCAAAAUAUUCCUGGCAUCGAUUGACAUUUAAAAAAUAGUAAUAAUUAUAUUUUUUAAAUGUGCCACUCAUUUGCCUGGCCACUCAAUCCUUCCAAUAACGCUGAAAAGUGCUUAUUCCUAUUCCCUGCUUACAGAGAAGGAAAUUGAAGCUCAGAGAGCUCAGGGGACCCUCAGCUGAGAAGCAACAAGAAGCCAAAUGCAUUACAGGAAACCAGCAGCGAAGUCUGUUCUGGAAAUCUCCAUGCCUGCCAGUCUAGUGGACCAGGUUGUGCAUGCGCUUUGCCUGCAUGUUUCAAAAUAAAAUGAAGAACAAAAUCCACACACUUGGAAAACUUCAGGAUUGGAUAAGCCUGUACCCAACCUUUCACUUAUAACCUCACAGGGACACUUUGUCUCAGGGUCUGGAGGAGGGCUAGCCUGCAGGAUGCCUGGCACUGGCUAGAUGUCUAGUCCAUGCUCCUGACCUCCUGCCUGAGUCAGUGAACACGUGAGCAAACCUGCCUGGUGUCCAAACGGCCAGUGCACAGCAGGUGGUCCGCCCUUGGCUGGCCAGUCCCCUUAGAGGCACUGUGGCCCACUUUCCUUUUCUGGUUCUGGUUUCCGUUUUGCUUCAAGGAGCACCAAGUCCUGUCUGGCCUCUUUCAGGAUGAAGGUGGAGAGUGGGGAGGAGCACCGCCUUCGCCUUGUUUGCGCCCACUGAUGGAGUCCCGCCUGACUCAUCUUCCAUGCUCUUGCUGGUUCUA